CGCUGGCGGCAUGCCUAACACAUGCAAGUCGAACGGGGGUAGCAAUACCCUAGUGGCGAACGGGUGAGUAACACAUAAGCAAUCUGCCCUUCACAGGGGGAUAACAGCGGGAAACUGCUGCUAAUACCGCAUAAGACCACAGUACCACAUGGUACAGGGGUAAAAACGAAUCAGUGGUGAAGGAUGAGCUUAUGUCCCAUUAGCUAGUUGGUGAGAUAACAGCCCACCAAGGCGACGAUGGGUAGCCGACCUGAGAGGGUGAUCGGCCACACUGGAACUGAGACACGGUCCAGACUCCGUACGGGAGGCAGCAGUGGGGAAUAUUGGGCAAUGGAAGGAAACUCUUACCCAGCAAUGCCGCGUGAGUGAAGAAGGUCUUCGGAUUGUAAAGCUCUUUGAUUGGGGACGAAGAAAGUGACGGUACCCAAAGAACAAGCCCCGGCUAACUACGUGCCAGCCGCCGC
rnacentral:rRNA from 1 species